UUGUUGAACAUCAAUCACCAUUGUUCAAUGCGACCUUUCGGUAAUCCGCAGUUCCCAUCUCCCCUAUAACCUGAUUUUUGAUUCUUAAAGAUUCCAUCAAUAGCGUUGAAUCUCAUCUUCUCCUUAACCUGUUUUUCGAUUCUUACCUCAAUCGACCAUUUCUCAUGACAUGGGAACUGCUGAGUUCAAAAAAUCUAUGGUUCGUUGUCAGAACUACAAGGUGAAAACGAAGAUUCAAGUUUAUUUUAGAUCCACCUAUGAAGAUUCAGAAACAGAUUUGAUUACAAAACCCUAAAAUCAAUCAAGUUGAAGGCUUUAAUCUUGAAUUGGAGAAUUAGAAUGGA